UCGUGACUCGGGUUCCGAGUCUGGUUACCUAAGGGCUACAGCCUACGGUGCCAGACCGAUAGGGUACAGCUGGAAACGGCUGUGCCUCCCGGGCUUGGAAAGGAACCCGCCAAAAAAGGGU
rnacentral:ncRNA from 2 species